rnacentral:rRNA from 1 species
GAUGAACGCUGGCGGCGUGCCUAAUACAUGCAAGUCGAGCGAACGGACGAGAAGCUUGCUUCUCUGAUGUUAGCGGCGGACGGGUGAGUAACACGUGGAUAACCUACCUAUAAGACUGGGAUAACUUCGGGAAACCGUAGCUAAUACCGGAUAAUAUUUUGAACCGCAUGGUUCAAAAGUGAAAGACGGUCUUGCUGUCAGGUAUAGAUGGAUCCGAGCUGCAUUAGCUAGUUGGUAAGGUAACGGCUUACCAAGGCAACGAUGCAUAGCCGAGGUGCGAGGGUGAUAGGCCACACUAGAGGGGAGACAGGGACAAGACGCCUAAGGGAGGCAGCAGUAGGGUACCUUCGGCAAUGGUCGAAAACCUGACGGAGCAAGGCCGAGUGAGUGAUGAAGGUCUUCGGAUCGUAAAAACCUGUUACUAGGGAUGAACAUAUGUGGACGUAGAUGUGCACAUCUUGACGGUAACUAAUAAAAAAGCCACGGCUAACUACGUG